rnacentral:rRNA from 11 species
GUUGGCGCGCGCAGCACAAUGCAAAACGGUCUGCAAAUUGUUGGACUUCAUGGUUAAUGGAGCCUUGAACUCCAACAGCAACUUUGUA